rnacentral:rRNA from 1 species
UACGUAGGUGACAAGCGUUGUCCGGAUUUACUGGGCGUAAAGAGCGCGCAGGCGGUCGUUCAAGUCGAGUGUGAAAGCCCCCGGCUCAACUGGGGAGGGUCACUCGAUACUGAUCGACUCGAAGGCAGGAGAGGGAAGUGGAAUUCCCGGUGUAGUGGUGAAAUGCGUAGAUAUCGGGAGGAACACCAGUGGCGAAGGCGGCAUCCUGGACCGGUAUUGACGCUGAGGCGCGAAAGCCAGGGGAGCAAACAGG